AGAAGGUAUCUAUCUGGUCACUGGACAAACGGCAGGCAAGCCCCCUGUGCUCCUCGCUGGGUGAGACUCAGGGGCAUGGGUUUGGGCAUGGGAGCUCAGAGGGAUGGUCUGGGCCCACAAGCCCACGAGGCAUAGAGCCUAGGGCCCAUGAAAUGUUUUCAUUUUAAUUUCUUUUAAAAUCAGAAGAAAAAAUGACUAUAAAAAUAAUGAAUAUACGACAAUGAAUUCGACCUGGUUUUAUUGGCCUUUAGUCUGAUGUAGUCAUAAAAUAGAAUUUUUAGUAUUUAUGGAGGAAGGGAACCAGGAAGCCAAAAGUGCCCCGGCCCAUGGAAGGCGGGUGUGGCCUGGGUUGGUCCUGUCUGUCCCAGGACAAAGGGUCAGAUGUCUGGGUCCAGGGGGGGUUUGGAGGGCAUCUGGGUGCCCUGUGAAUCUGGCUUCCACGAAGGCUAGCUGGGACAGGUUGCUCCAGCCUGCGGUGGACAGGAGCCAGGGCUGUGUAUGUCUGUGCGUGUCCGUGUAUGUGCACGUGGGUGUGCAGGCAUACUCGUGUGCAUGCCAGUGUUUGACAAAGGAUUCCUAGACACCUGCGUGUGUAAGUCCCAAUUCUCAAAACGGGGAAUGCAAGGCCAGGGUCAGGAGACAGUGUGGCUGCAAGGGCCUGGUAUUCCUGACAAUGAUGGGUAGGGAGUGCCAUUGUCUCCCUAGGAGAAAGCAGCCUUCAAGGUCCCAGCACCCCCAAACCCACGAGCUCACACAAAACAACGCGAGCCACAAAUGCAAGCCACAUCUGUCAUUUAACACCUUCUAAUAGCCACAUUUUCAGAAAGUGAAAAUAAGCGGAUUGAGCUUCUAGAGCCUCAGAGAUGGAAUUCGCCGUUUUGCCGCGAUUUGGCGUUAACUUAUUGACCCAUGGGGAGGAGGGUCACUUCCCGUGAAAAGAAGGCAGAGAUGUUUUGCUGUGCCCAGUGUGAGGAAGCGAAGGAAAAGAAAGAUCUUUUGAAAAUGUGUACAUCUACUUGCAGCUUGAAAAUUCCAAGUGCCAGACAUUUUUCUUGGAGGAAAUAAAUGUCUUCAAUUUAUUCAUCUUACCUGUUGAUUAUGUUCUGUAAUGAUUUAUUUUAUAAUUUAAUCCUUGUCUAGAACCGAGGCCAUCUUUGGAAAGUAAAAGACCUAGGUCUCUUUGGUCCAGGAGACAUUGUGGCCCUCUCUUAAAAUCAUUGACUGCCGAGAUCUGGGCCCAGGCGGCUCUCGGACUGAACCGGUCUGUGCUAGGCAGCCUGGCCCACUCGGCCUUCAAAACACAAGGGAUGGGAGACAUAUGCUCGGCUCACAUCGUUUUGUUUUGAUUUAUUUUAAACUGCUUAAGAUGAUUUUAGCACAAGGAGUGGUGUAUCUUACUUGCAUUCUGAGAGCCACUGGAUUUGCAAGCUAGAGUACAAUUUUUUUUUUAAUCCAAAUUUAGAAAUUGCCUUUUAGAGUAGACAACAGCAUGCUACUUUGCCUUUUAACUCACUUUUAAAGAACGAUUCUUAAGAUCAAGUACAUUGAAUUUGGAGAUUGGUCCCCCUCCGUUAUUAGGGGCUGGAAAUGGCCCACUUUUCAAAAAUAAGGUCAGAAAAGGGGUGUUUCUGACCUAAGAGUUCUUCCAGGCUGGGCUCGUACCACAGAGAUUCUUCCACACCCAUGUCCUGAGUCCUUGUCCUACACACCAUUUUUUCUUCCAAGGAGAAGGAGUGUGGCAUUCAGUUCCAGUGUCAUCGUGUGGAAAAGAGUCCCUGCCUGGCUGAGAAACUGUCACAGGCAGCCGGGCCACUUCCCAGCAUGACCCACAAGCCCGAUGGUGCCCCUCGAAUGGUUAAGGGACCCGUACAGAUACCAUUCUUUUAAAGCAAGCCAAUGCAAUCUUCACGAAUUGCAGUUCCACCCUGGCUGCUGGUACUAACUCUAAUAAUGGAAAAAAAUUUAAAAGAUUGGGGACAACAGGAAACACAUUGGAUCCCCAGGGGAAACGGCCUGGAAGCUACAGUAGAGACAUGGGUGACCCAAGGGCUCUGUUCAAGUCCUGGGGCUGUUCCCUUUAUUCCUCCAAGCCUCAGCUCCCCGGAUUUAAAGUGAGAACAGCACCCAGCCCAGCCCACUGUCAAGGGCUGUUGCAGGAAUAUGACAACAGCCACCAAUAUUUGCAUAGCAGAGAUGCCCAGUUUCGUUUUCUAUUUGAAAGUUUCUCUGAAGGGGGAUGUGCUAGAGACACGAGAACAACUGCUACCAUCUUAAUAACUUUUCUG
rnacentral:lncRNA from 1 species